rnacentral:rRNA from 1 species
AUGGGCGUAUCCAAGUUGCCGUUCUCGGUCUGUGAUGAGCUCACGAGGAUGGUCAGAAGUUUUUAUUGGGGAUUGGCCAACGGAAAGCGAAAAGUACACUGGCGUGCAUGGGACGAUUUGUUACAGCCAAAAGAUAGGGGAGGUGCUGGUUUCCGUGAUUUCCGUUUAUUCAAUCAAGCAUUAUUAAGACAAGCCUGGAGAUUAAUAUCUAAACCUGACUGUUUGUGUGCUCAAGUGUUGAAAGCUAGAUAUUAUACCAAAGGCAAAUUGGAAGAUACCGUUUUCACAGGGAAUGCAUCGUCGUCUUGGCAAGGAAUUAGCCACGGACUUGAUUUGUUAAAAAAGGGCCUUAUUUGGAGAGUUGGUAACGGGCGUAACAUCCACAUCUGGCGUGAAAAUUGGAUUCCUCGGCCCUUUUCUUACAAGCCAAUUUCUAUGAAAGGGACGUGUCGACUUCGAUUUGUUUCUGAACUUUUGAAUGAUAACUGCUCCUGGAAGUAUGAUCUAUUGCAACGAUACUUCUUGCAGGCGGAUGUUGUUGAAAUUAUGAAAAUACGAGCAUCCCCGCGUCUUGGUGAAGAUACACUAGCCUGGGCCCGGAUAUUUCCUUCAUUAUUCACUGUUAAGAGUGCAUACCAAGUGGCCUUUGAUGAAAUUCACAGAAGUAACAUUGCUGGUUCAAGCACUAGACCUGAUGGUAGCCGGUUGGAAAUUAAUAUGGUCUUGUGAUGUACCACCCGCGGUCAGAAAUUUCGCUUGAGAUUGUCUACAAAUUCGCUUCCCUGCAGGACCGACCUGGUCUCGCGCCCGGCAGCAGGAUCAUGCUCGUCUCGGCCCGACAGUAGGACCGUGCUCGUCUCGCGCCCGGCAGCAGGACGUGUCGAUGGAGGCCAAUUUUGGCCAGCCUAUGGGUUUCGGUGUUGGGGGUAG